rnacentral:rRNA from 1 species
UGGGGAAUCUUGCGCAAUGGGCGAAAGCCUGACGCAGCCAUGCCGCGUGAAUGAUGAAGGUCUUAGGAUUGUAAAAUUCUUUCACCGGGGACGAUAAUGACGGUACCCGGAGAAGAAGCCCCGGCUAACUUCGUGCCAGCAGCCGCGGUAAUACGAAGGGGGCUAGCGUUGCUCGGAAUUACUGGGCGUAAAGGGAGCGUAGGCGGACAUUUAAGUCAGGGGUGAAAUCCCGGGGCUCAACCUCGGAAUUGCCUUUGAUACUGGGUGUCUUGAGUGUGAGAGAGGUAUGUGGAACUCCGAGUGUAGAGGUGAAAUCCGUAGAUAUUCGGAAGAACACCAGUGGCGAAGGCGACAUACUGGCUCAUUACUGACGCUGAGGCUCGAAAGCGUGGGGAGCAAACAGGAUUAGAUACCCUGGUAGUCCACGCCGUAAACGAUGAUUGCUAGUUGUCGGGAUGCAUGCAUUUCGGUGACGCAGCUAACGCAUUAAGC